rnacentral:rRNA from 1 species
CGAGCGGCGGACGGCUGAGUAACGCGUGGGAACAUACCCUAAAGUGAGGGAUAACUACUCGAAAGAGUGGCUAAUACCGCAUAUGAUCUUCGGAUUAAAGCAUUUAUGCGCUUUAGGAAUAGCCUGCGUACGAUUAGAUAGUUGGUGAGGUAAAGGCUCACCAAGUCGACGAUCGUUAGAUGGUUUGAGAGGAUGAUCAUCCAGACUGGGACUGAGACACGGCCCAGACUCCUACGGGAGGCAGCAG